rnacentral:rRNA from 1 species
GGGACACGUGGUAUCCUGUCUGAAUAUGGGGGGACCAUCCUCCAAGGCUAAAUACUCCUGACUGACCGAUAGUGAACCAGUACCGUGAGGGAAAGGCGAAAAGAACCCCGGCGAGGGGAGUGAAAAAGAACCUGAAACCGUGUACGUACAAGCAGUGGGAGCACCCUUCGGGGUGUGACUGCGUACCUUUUGUAUAAUGGGUCAGCGACUUAUAUUCUGUAGCAAGGUUAACCGAAUAGGGGAGCCGGAGGGAAACCGAGUCUUAACCGGGCGUUAAGUUGCAGGGUAUAGACCCGAAACCCGGUGAUCUAGCCAUGGGCAGGUUGAAGGUUGGGUAACACUAACUGGAGGACCGAACCGACUAAUGUUGAAAAAUUAGCGGAUGACCUGUGGCUGGGGGUGAAAGGCCAAUCAAACCGGGAGAUAGCUGGUUCUCCCCGAAAGCUAUUUAGGUAGCGCCUCGUGAAUUCAUCUCCGGGGGUAGAGCACUGUUUCGGCUAGGGGGCCAUCCCGGCUUACCAACCCGAUGCAAACUGCGAAUACCGGAGAAUGUUAUCACGGGAGACACACGGCGGGUGCUAACGUCCGUCGUGAAGAGGGAAACAACCCAGACCGCCAGCUAAGGUCCCAAAGUCAUGGUUAAGUGGGAAACGAUGUGGGAAGGCCCAGACAGCCAGGAUGUUGGCUUAGAAGCAGCCAUCAUUUAAAGAAAGCGUAAUAGCUCACUGGUCGAGUCGGCCUGCGCGGAAGAUGUAACGGGGCUAAACCAUGCACCGAAGCUGCGGCAGCGAACGUAUCACUUAAAGCGAUUCAGCGGGUUACGAUUGACGGAGCGAAGCGACGUCAAAGCGUAUACAAAGUCGAGUCGGUUUAAGGAUACGUUCGUUGGGUAGGGGAGCGUUCUGUAAGCCUGUGAAGGUGUGUCGUGAGGCAUGCUGGAGGUAUCAGAAGUGCGAAUGCUGACAUAAGUAACGAUAAAGCGGGUGAAAAGCCCGCUCGCCGGAAGACCAAGGGUUCCUGUCCAACGUUAAUCGGGGCAGGGUGAGUCGACCCCUAAGGCGAGGCCGAAAGGCGUAGUCGAUGGGAAACGGGUUAAUAUUCCCGUACUUGGUGUUACUGCGAAGGGGGGACGGAGAAGGCUAUGUUGGCCGGGCGACGGUUGUCCCGGUUUAAGCGUGUAGGUGUGUGUUCCAGGUAAAUCCGGUUCACUUUAACACUGAGGCGUGAUGACGAGGCACUACGGUGCUGAAGCAACAAAUGCCCUGCUUCCAGGAAAAGCCUCUAAGCAUCAGGUAACAUCAAAUCGUACCCCAAACCGACACAGGUGGUCAGGUAGAGAAUACCAAGGCGCUUGAGAGAACUCGGGUGAAGGAACUAGGCAAAAUGGUGCCGUAACUUCGGGAGAAGGCACGCUGACACGUAGGUGAAGUGAUUUACUCAUGGAGCUGAAGUCAGUCGAAGAUACCAGCUGGCUGCAACUGUUUAUUAAAAACACAGCACUGUGCAAACACGAAAGUGGACGUAUACGGUGUGACGCCUGCCCGGUGCCGGAAGGUUAAUUGAUGGGGUCAGCGCAAGCGAAGCUCCUGAUCGAAGCCCCGGUAAACGGCGGCCGUAACUAUAACGGUCCUAAGGUAGCGAAAUUCCUUGUCGGGUAAGUUCCGACCUGCACGAAUGGCGUAAUGAUGGCCAGGCUGUCUCCACCCGAGACUCAGUGAAAUUGAACUCGCUGUGAAGAUGCAGUGUACCCGCGGCAAGACGGAAAGACCCCGUGAACCUUUACUAUAGCUUGACACUGAACAUUGAGCCUUGAUGUGUAGGAUAGGUGGGAGGCUUUGAAGCGUGGACGCCAGUCUGCGUGGAGCCGACCUUGAAAUACCACCCUUUAAUGUUUGAUGUUCUAACGUGGACCCGUGAUCCGGGUUGCGGACAGUGUCUGGUGGGUAGUUUGACUGGGGCGGUCUCCUCCUAAAGAGUAACGGAGGAGCACGAAGGUUGGCUAAUCCUGGUCGGACAUCAGGAGGUUAGUGCAAUGGCAUAAGCCAGCUUGACUGCGAGCGUGACGGCGCGAGCAGGUGCGAAAGCAGGUCAUAGUGAUCCGGUGGUUCUGAAUGGAAGGGCCAUCGCUCAACGGAUAAAAGGUACUCCGGGGAUAACAGGCUGAUACCGCCCAAGAGUUCAUAUCGACGGCGGUGUUUGGCACCUCGAUGUCGGCUCAUCACAUCCUGGGGCUGAAGUAGGUCCCAAGGGUAUGGCUGUUCGCCAUUUAAAGUGGUACGCGAGCUGGGUUUAGAACGUCGUGAGACAGUUCGGUCCCUAUCUGCCGUGGGCGCUGGAGAACUGAGGGGGGCUGCUCCUAGUACGAGAGGACCGGAGUGGACGCAUCACUGGUGUUCGGGUUGUCAUGCCAAUGGCACUGCCCGGUAGCUAAAUGCGGAAGAGAUAAGUGCUGAAAGCAUCUAAGCACGAAACUUGCCCCGAGAUGAGUUCUCCCUGAGACUUAAAGUCUCCUGAAGGAACGUUGAAGACGACGACGUUGAUAGGCCGGGUGUGUAAGCGCAGCGAUGCGUUGAGCUAACCGGUACUAAUGAACCGUGAGGCUUAACCUUACAACGCCGAAG